GCUGGGAGUAGGGGGGACCAAGUGUACUAGGGGCUCAAUGGUAAUGGUAGAUUUUCUACUAAAUCUAUGUACAAAUGGCUAGAAAACCCCCUUAGUGGCUGCCACUAUAGAUGGGUUUGGAAGGCCAAGAUCCCCCUCAAGAUCAAAAUUUUCCUGUGGCAGCUAUCUCUGGAUGUUGUCUUGACUAGGCAAGUUAUGAAGGAGAGGAAAUGGCCUGGGUAUCCCAAAUGUUCCUUUUGUGACAAUAUUGAAUCAUCCCGGCAUUUGUUUUUCACUUGUCCUGUGGCUAAAGUGGUAUGGCGUUGUGUUGGGAUGGCUUUAGGGACUGACCUCUGUCCUAAUAGUUACUGGCAAUAUUUCUCCUGGUGCCACACUUUCCUUCCCUAUGGGAAGAAAUAUUAUACUGUUGGCCUUGCGGCUGUUUGCUAG
rnacentral:rRNA from 1 species